UAGGGAAUCUUCGGCAAUGGACGAAAGUCUGACCGAGCAACGCCGCGUGAGUGAAGAAGGUUUUCGGCUCGUAAAACACUGUUGUUAGAGAAGAACAAGGACGUUAGUAACUGAAUGUCCCCUGACGGUAUCUAACCAGAAAGCCACGGCUAACUACGUGCCAGCAGCCGCGGUAAUACGUAGGUGGCAAGCGUUGAUCGGACUUAUUGGGCGUAAAGCGAGCGCAGGCGGUUUCUUAAGUCUGAUGUGAAAGCCCCCGGCUCAACCGGGGAGGGUCAUUGGAAACUGGGAGACUUGAGUGCAGAAGAGGAGGGUGGAAUUCCAUGUGUAGCGGUGAAAUGCGUAGAGAUGUGGAGGAACACCAGUGGCGAAGGCGGCUCCCUGGUCAGUAACUGACGCUGAGGCUCGAAAGCGUGGGGAGCAAACAGG
rnacentral:rRNA from 1 species